rnacentral:rRNA from 1 species
GCCAGCAGCCGCGGUAACACCGGCGGCCCGAGUGGUGAUCGUGAUUAUUGGGUCUAAAGGGUCCGUAGCCGGUUGGUCAGUCCUCCGGGAAAUCUGAUAGCUCAACUAUUAGGCUUUCGGGGGAUACUGCCAGGACUUGGAACCGGGAGAGGUAAGAGGUACGUACAGGGGUAGGAGUGAAAGUCUUGUAAUCCCUGUGGGACCACCUGUGGCGAAGGCGUCGUUACCAGAACGGGUUCGACGGUGAGGGACGAAAGCUGGGGGCACGAACCGGAUUAGAUACCCGGGUAGUCCCAGCCGUAAACGAUGCUCGCUAGGUGUCAGGCAUGGCGCGACCGUGUCUGGUGCCGCAGGGAAGCCGUGAAGCGAGCCACCUGGGAAGUACGGCCGCAAGGCUGAAACUUAAAGGAAUUGGCGGGGGAGCACAACAACGGGUGGAAGCCUGCGGUUUAAUUGGACUCAACGCCGGACAACUCACCGGGGGCGACAGCAAUAUGUAGGCCAAGCUGAAGACUUUGCCUGAAUCGCUGAGAGGUGGUGCAUGG